rnacentral:rRNA from 1 species
CGCGUAGGUGGUAGUGCAAGUCUGAGGUGGAAUCCCAGGGCUUAACCCUGGAACUGCCUUGGAAACUGCACUACUUGAGUCAGUGAGGGGAGGAUAGAAUUCCUGGUGUAGCGGUGAAAUGCGUAGAUAUCAGGAGGAAGGCCGGUGGCGAAGGCGGCCCUCUGGCGCUGAACUGACACUGAGGCGCGAAAGCGUGGGUAGCAAACAGGAUUAGAUACCCUGGUAGUCCACGCCCUAAACGGUGGGUACUAGGUGUAGGGCUCGUAAGGGUUCUGUGCCAAAGCGAAAGCAUUAAGUACCCCGCCUGGGGAGUACGGCCGCAAGGUUGAA